AGUGGCAGACGGGUGAGUAACACGUGGGAACGUGCCCUUUGGUACGGAAUAGCUCCUGGAAACGGGUGGUAAUACCGUAUGUGCCCUUCGGGGGAAAGAUUUAUCGCCAAGGGAUCGGCCCGCGUCUGAUUAGCUAGUUGGUGGGGUAAUGGCCUACCAAGGCUACGAUCAGUAGCUGGUCUGAGAGGAUGAUCAGCCACACUGGGACUGAGACACGGCCCAGACUCCUACGGGAGGCAGCAGUCGGGAAUCUUGGACAAUGGGCGCAAGCCUGAUCCAGCCAUGCCGCGUGGAUGAUGAAGGCCUUCGGGUUGUAAAAUCCUUUCGGCGGGGACGAUAAUGACGGUACCCGCAGAAGAAGCCCCGGCUAACUUCGUGCCAGCAGCCGCGGUAAUACGAAGGGGGCUAGCGUUGUUCGGAUUUACUGGGCGUAAAGCGCGUGUAGGCGGGUCGUUAAGUCGGGGGCGAAAGCCCGGAGCUCAACUCCGGAACUGCCUUCGAUACUGGCGACCUGGAGCAUGUCAGAGGCGAGUGGAAUUGCGAGUGUAGAGGUGAAAUUCGUAGAUAUUCGCAGGAACACCAGUGGCGAAGGCGACUCGCAGGGACAUUGCUGACGCUGAGACGCGAAAGCGUGGGGAGCAGACAGGAUUAGAUACCCUGGUAGUCCACGCCGUAAACGAUGAGUGCUAGUUGUCG
rnacentral:rRNA from 2 species